GGGGCUAAUGACUGAAGCUGGUAAUGAAGGCCGAUACCCGGAUCAAAAGUCGAGGAUCAGAGACCGGGGUAGGGUCGGACGUGCACGAAGAGUAUAGGCAUCCGUGAGCUGAAGUAGGACGUAGAAGUGUAUCCUCUCUCUGCUACCUUUUCUCUUUCCUUUUCUUCCCUUUCUUUUUUUGUCUUGUUAUGCUGCUCAUGGGGGAUAGGACAAGAGACAAAGAGGCAAUUAAUGCCUCUGUCAGGCACAUGUGCAGUG
rnacentral:lncRNA from 1 species